rnacentral:rRNA from 1 species
GACGAACGCUGGCGGCGUGCCUAAUACAUGCAAGUCGAACGCACUGACGUCGACAGAAGGUGCUUGCACUGGAAGUUGAUUGACGUGAGUGGCGGACGGGUGAGUAACACGUGAGUAACCUGCCCUUAAGCGGGGGAUAACAUUUGGAAACAGAUGCUAAUACCGCAUAAAAGUUGAGAUCACAUGGUCUUAAUUUGAAAGACGGGCUUUGGCUGUCACUUAAGGAUGGACGCGCGGCGUAUUAGCUAGUUGGUGAGAUAAUAGCCCACCAAGGCGAUGAUACGUAGCCGACCUGAGAGGGUAAUCGGCCACAUUGGGACUGAGACACGGCCCAAACUCCUACGGGAGGCAGCAGUAGGGAAUCUUCCACAAUGGACGAAAGUCUGAUGGAGCAACGCCGCGUGAGUGAAGAAGGUUUUCGGAUCGUAAAACUCUGUUGUUGGAGAAGAACGGGGACUAGAGUAACUGUUAGUCCUUUGACGGUAUCCAACCAGAAAGCCACGGCUAACUACGUGCCAGCAGCCGCAGUAA